GGUUUCCUGGUUCUUGGUUUUUUUUUUUCUUGGAGGAGUUGUGGAUAUCCGUUUCUUAGGUGUGGGUGAAUGCUUUGGACUUCUGCAGGCUUUACGUUUCUUAGAUGCUGGUAAUCACUUGGGACUUAAGCGUUUUUGCUUAGGGCUCACUUUUUUAACCUUGGUGUGCCUUUGAAUAAACUGAGAUUGGGAUUGGAUGUGUAUGAAAAGUUAUGAUAGGGACUUAGUUGAAAUGCAAAGAAUGAGCGAAAUAAUUUAUCUUAAGACAUAAAGAGGCAGGUAUGAAAAGUUAUGUAAGGGACUUGGUUGAAAUGCAAAGAAGGAGCUAAAGUAAUCUUAAGACAUUAAUCAGUAUGGUCAAAUGACGAGGGAAACACCUGAGCUGUGCUUCAUAUCCAAAUUUUCACACCACCAAAUAGUAUGAAG